rnacentral:rRNA from 1 species
UGAUACAGAGGUUGGCGAGCGUUGUCCGGAUUUACUGGGUGUAAAGGGUGCGUAGGCGGAUUUGUAAGUCGGGGGUUAAAGACUCUUGCUCAACAAGAGGAGUGCCUUCGAUACUGCAUAUCUAGAGUGCCGAAGAGGAAACUGGAAUUUCCGGUGUAGCGGUGGAAUGUGCAGAGAUCGGAAAGAACACCAGUGGCGAAGGCAGGUUUCUGGUCGGUAACUGACGCUGAUGCACGAAAGCGUGGGGAGCAAACAGGAUUAAUACCCUGGUAGUCCACGCCCUAACGAUGGAUGCUAGAUGUUGCCUUCGGUCAUGUCCACUAACCAUAACAUCCACCUGGGAUACGACGCAGGUGAACUCAAUGAUUG